rnacentral:rRNA from 1 species
GAUGAACGCUAGCGGCAGGCUUAACACAUGCAAGUCGAGGGGUAGAAGGAGCUUGCUCCUUUGAGACCGGCGCACGGGUGCGUAACGCGUAUGCAAUCUACCUUUUGCAGAGGGAUAGCCCAGAGAAAUUUGGAUUAAUACCUCAUAGUAUGUGAGGAUGGCAUCAUUUUCACAUUAAAGUCACAACGGCAAAAGAUGAGCAUGCGUCCCAUUAGCUAGUUGGUAAGGUAACGGCUUACCAAGGCUACGAUGGGUAGGGGUCCUGAGAGGGAGAUCCCCCACACUGGUACUGAGACACGGACCAGACUCCUACGGGAGGCAGCAGUGAGGAAUAUUGGACAAUGGGCGCAAGCCUGAUCCAGCCAUGCCGCGUGCAGGAUGACGGUCCUAUGGAUUGUAAACUGCUUUUGUACAGGAAGAACACUACUUCGUGAAGUAGCUUGACGGUACUGUAAGAAUAAGGAUCGGCU